GAUCCUGGCUCAGGAUGAACGCUGGCGGCGUGCUUAACACAUGCAAGUCGAACGAAGCAUUUAAGACAGAUUUUUUCGGAAUGAAGUUUUUUAUGACUGAGUGGCGGACGGGUGAGUAACGCGUGGGUAACCUGCCUCACACAGGGGGAUAGCAGUUGGAAACGACUGGUAAUACCGCAUAAGCGCACAGCUUCGCAUGAAGCGGUGUGAAAAACUCCGGUGGUGUGAGAUGGACCCGCGU
rnacentral:rRNA from 1 species